GACGAACGCUGGCGGCGUGCUUAACACAUGCAAGUCGAACGGAAAGGCCCUGCUUUUGUGGGGUGCUCGAGUGGCGAACGGGUGAGUAACACGUGAGUAACCUGCCCUUGACUUUGGGAUAACUUCAGGAAACUGGGGCUAAUACCGGAUAGGAGCUCCUGCUGCAUGGUGGGGGUUGGAAAGUUUCGGCGGUUGGGGAUGGACUCGCGGCUUAUCAGCUUGUUGGUGGGGUAGUGGCUUACCAAGGCUUUGACGGGUAGCCGGCCUGAGAGGGUGACCGGCCACAGUGGGACUGAGAUACGGCCCAGACUCGAACGGGAGGCAGCAGUGGGGAAUAUUGCACAAUGGGCGGAAGCCUGAUGCAGCAACGCCGCGGGCGGGAUGACGGCCUGCGGGUUGUAAACCGCAUUCGCCUGUGACGAAGCGUGAGUGACGGUAAUGGGUAAAGAAGCACCGGCUAACUACGUG
rnacentral:rRNA from 1 species